rnacentral:rRNA from 1 species
ACGGAGGGGGCUAGCGUUGUUCGGAAUUACUGGGCGUAAAGCGCGCGUAGGCGGCUUUUCAAGUCGAUUGUGAAAUCCCCGGGCUUAACCUGGGAACUGCAGUCGAGACUGUCUAGCUAGAGUAUGGGAGAGGGAAGUGGAAUUUCAGGUGUAGCGGUGAAAUGCGUAGAUAUCUGAAGGAACAUCAGUGGCGAAAGCGACUUCCUGGACCAAUACUGACGCUCGUGUGCGAAAGCGUGGGGAGCAAACAGGA